rnacentral:rRNA from 1 species
AAACUGGGAUUAGAUACCCCACUAUGCCUGGCCGUAAACUUUAACUUACACUUACUGAUCGCCCGGGAACUACGAGCCAAGCUUAAAACCCAAAGGACUUGACGGUACCCCAAAUCCACCUAGAGGAGCCUGUCCUGUAAUCGAUAAUCCCCGUUCAACCUCACCACUCCUUGUCUAUCAGCCUGUAUACCUCCGUCGCCAGCUUACCGCGUGAGCGCCAUUAAGUGAGCUUAAUGCCCAUACGCCAACACGUCAGGUCAAGGUGCAGUUAAUGAAGUGGGAAGAGAUGGGCUACACUUUCUAUUGUAGAAAAAACGAAAGACUACCUAUGAAAUCUAGUCAGAAGGAGGAUUUAGUAGUAAAAAGAAAACAGAGUGUUCUUUUUAAUCCGGCACUGGGGUGUGUACACACCGCCCGUCACCCUC